rnacentral:pre_miRNA from 1 species
AGCACUUAGGGAUCUUGUUAAAAUCAGAUUCUGAUUCAGUAGUAAGUCAGGUAUGGGGCCCAAGAGUCUGCAUUUCUAACAAGCUCUCAGGAGAUUCUGA